ACCCCCAUCAGCCUCUCCACCAGUCACUCCAACCUCAUCUUUCAUUAUAUCUGCUCGAUUUUUGUCAAGUCUACGCGAUGCAACCGCCCAGUGGUCAAAAUGUGAGGAUGGUGGUGUAACAGGUGUACUUCAAUUAACAAUUUGAUACUAUUCUAAUUACAGAUUACAAAUUGAUUAAGAAAAGAAAGAGAAAAGAAAUCAGAAGAAAAGAUUGUACAAAGAGGGUUUUUAUAGAGAGAAGUUUGAGAUGAAAGAAUAUCAGAAACUGCUUCACAGUGAAGUGUGAAGCAGAAGAAUAUUAAAAGCUACACAGAAAAAUCAUUAGAAACUAUAUAAAUAUAGAGUGUGAAAUAAGAGAAUCAUUGAGAGCUAUAUAGAAGAAUCAUUAGAGACUACACAAACAC
rnacentral:sRNA from 1 species